UCUUACUUUAUGAAAUUGCCACAGCCACCCUAGCCUUCCAUAGCCACCUCCCUGAUCGGUCAGCAGCCAUCAGCUGAUGUCAAGUUUCAGAACGUUCUCUCCAGCUGUGACAAGGAGGUGCACGUGAAGUGUGCCUCCAGCCAGCCCCAUAUGUCCAG
rnacentral:lncRNA from 13 species